rnacentral:rRNA from 1 species
UGCAGUCGACGGCAGCACGGGUGCUUGCACCUGGUGGCGAGUGGCGAACGGGUGAGUAAUACAUCGGAACAUGUCCUGUAGUGGGGGAUAGCCCGGCGAAAGCCGGAUUAAUACCGCAUACGAUCUAUGGAUGAAAGCGGGGGACCUUCGGGCCUCGCGCUAUAGGGUUGGCCGAUGGCUGAUUAGCUAGUUGGUGGGGUAAAGGCCUACCAAGGCGACGAUCAGUAGCUGGUCUGAGAGGACGACCAGCCACACUGGGACUGAGACACGGCCCAGACUCCUACGGGAGGCAGCAGUGGGGAAUUUUGGACAAUGGGCGAAAGCCUGAUCCAGCAAUGCCGCGUGUGUGAAGAAGGCCUUCGGGUUGUAAAGCACUUUUGUCCGGAAAGAAAUCCUUGGUUCUAAUAUAGCCGGGGGAUGACGGUACCGGAAGAAUAAGCACCGGCUAACUACGUGCCAGCAGCCGCGGUAAUACGUAGGGUGCAAGCGUUAAUCGGAAUUACUGGGCGUAAAGCGUGCGCAGGCGGUUUGCUAAGACCGAUGUGAAAUCCCCGGGCUCAACCUGGGAACUGCAUUGGUGACUGGCAGGCUAGAGUAUGGCAGAGGGGGGUAGAAUUCCACGUGUAGCAGUGAAAUGCGUAGAGAUGUGGAGGAAUACCGAU